GUGAACGCUGGCGGCAGGCCCAACACAUGCCAGUCGAACGGCAGCACCAGAGAGCUUGCUCUCUGGGUGGCGAGUGGCGGACGGGUGAGGAAUGCAUCGGAAUCUGCCCAUUUGUGGGGGAUAACCUCGGGAAACCGGGACUAAUACCGCAUACGACCUACGGGUGAAAGCAGGGGAUCUUCGGACCUUGCGCAGAUGGAUGAGCCGAUGCCGGAUUAGCUAGUUGGAGGGGUAAAGGCCCACCAAGGCGACGAUCCGUAGCUGGUCUGAGAGGAUGAUCAGCCACACUGGGACUGAGACACGGCCCAGACUCCUACGGGAGGCAGCAGUGGGGAAUAUUGGACAAUGGGCGCAAGCCUGAUCCAGCCAUGCCGCGUGUGUGAAGAAGGCCUUCGGGUUGUAAAGCACUUUUGUUGGGAAAGAAAAGCAGCCGGUUAAUACCCGGUUGUCAUGACGGUACCCAAAGAAUAAGCACCGGCUAACUUCGUG
rnacentral:rRNA from 1 species